rnacentral:snoRNA from 1 species
UGGGAGGUAGAUACUUGGACAGUCCAAAGUAGUGGUCUGUCUGUCACUGCUCCUCCCUACAGUAUACAUGCUCUCUGAUGACCGGGGCGAAUUAAGAGAAAUCGUCACGGACAGAUACGGGGCAGACAAUU